rnacentral:piRNA from 1 species
UACACAGUUGAUACAAUGAGAUAUGU